UAGCCCUAAAAGAUUAGCUUUCCUACUUUCCCACGAUUCAUUUACAUCUCCCACUCAACCCUUAACAGUUAACCCCACUACCUCUAUGGAACUGACGAGCAGAAAAAGAGAAAAAAAAGCCUCGGAAUUUCAGAGCCCCUGUUUGAUUUGAUCGAUACUCUUAAAAUUAGUUCUGCACAAUCACAAUCUCAAUAGGUAUGAUCACAACCUCAGUAAUUUUGGUAUUUAUUAUUGUUCGCCUUGAUAAUUUUGGAUUUUGCAGAACUGAUAUCUUUAGUUUUCGCAACCCCUUCUCAUUUGAUCUCUCCUCUGAAAAUCGCUUCUUCGUAAUCAUAAUCCCCUGAGAGAGGAUAUCACGGAUUUUGGGUUAAGUAAUUUGGUGCCUGUUGUUGUAUCCUUGAAUAAUCAAAUAGUUAGUCCAAUUCAAGCUCGGUAUGAUUAGAACCUGAGUAAUUUGGUGUCUAUUACUUGAAUAACAAAUAAGCAAUCACCGUAACCAUCUAUGUGAAUUCAUCAUUCUAAUUAAUUUUUGUUUUUCAUCUUUACGGAUUCAGGUUAGAUAAUUUUGACCAAACUAGACAUGAAUUCCUGAAUAUCUUUUGCGUGAGUCAACAAAAUGGUUUCCAGUAAAGGCAUCAAAGAUGAUGAUUCUGCAUUUUCCUCCAUUAUUUUAGGACUUGGAUGAGUUCAGAAACGAACUUGAAAUCAGUAAAGGCCAGGAAAAGCCAGAGAGUUAAGGAAAGAUAUCUUGGCUGUAAAAAGACGUCAGAAAAUUAAAACUCCUGAAAAUACUCGACUGUCGAGAAAGCCAUUGUCUCCUGUUGGUCUGGUCAUAGAUUUUGGCUGCACCUCACUAUUCUAAAAUUGUACUAGCUUUUGAGAUCUGCAUUAAGAGAAGCCGGUAAUACUGAUGACGGGUCAUAUACUUGGUCUCUUUCUUAUAUGCAAGAAAGUGUGUUCCAAGGAACAUGAAACAAGGGACGCAAAUGUGAAUGCAAUAAAGAAAUCCAUAGAGGCGGAAUGAACAACUAUAGAUAUCUUUGUCAUUACAAUUUCAAAAGAAAUAACUUUCAAAGACUCUCACGAUAAGGAAAAGAAGCCCAAGCCGGAAGGAAAGGUCUGCAGUUGGAUAAUAGUGUUCUAAAGCCUAGAAUCUUUGCUAAUGCCGAAUGGUGCUUCUAAGACAAUUCCUCUUGGAAUUUCCUAGGGAGAAGCCGAGAAGGUUAAUCAUUGAGCCGAAAGGAUGAUUUGAUUCACAAACAAGGAUUUGCUUAAGUAUUAUCAAUUCAUCAUGGCACUGACAACCGUCAAGCAGUGAUACAAUUCUUGAUCCACCGAUGAAGUGAACAAAACUGUUGGUACUUUGGUAUGUGUGACAGUAGUUAAUAGUACUAAUAGACUUCUGUUCAUUACUCUUUUGUGUAUGAUACCGUAGUAAACCACCUAGAAGAGUAUGUUCUGAAUUUAUCGCCAGACAAUGAUGGAAAAUAGAUAUGGAUGGAACUGUACAAUCACUGAGAGAUUUCGAUAUUCAUCAUGUCUGAUGCCGACAAUGGACGAUAUAAAAUGGCGGAACCUGGUCUUUGAUAUCUACUUUUUUGACGUCGGUUCUUAAAAUUACUAAAAGUGAUGGUAUGUAAUUGAUUUCCUGGAUUCGGGUAAUAUUUAAGAAAUGAAAAUUUUGUAAAAACUGAACAAUUUGCAAGCUCUCAACCGUUUGAUCAUAUUUUUGCUUAAAAAUAAAAAAUUGAUCAUAUUUUGAGUGUUUGUGGAUGCUAGAUUAUUGUGUUUUUUUAUUUCCUAAA